GCUUAAGGCCAUACCAGCAGAAGAACGCCAAGUCUCGUCUGAUCUCAGAAGCUAAGAAAGCUUAGGCCUGAUUAGUACUUGGAUGGGAGAUUGACUGGGAAUACCAGGUGCUGUAAGCU
ensembl:rRNA 5S_rRNA 5S ribosomal RNA